GGCGGACGGGUGAGUAACGCGUGGGAACGUGCCCUUUGGUUCGGAAUAGCCCAGGGAAACUUGGAUUAAUACCGGAUACGCCCUUUUGGGGAAAGAUUUAUCGCCGAAGGAUCGGCCCGCGUUGGAUUAGGUAGUUGGUGGGGUAAUGGCCUACCAAGCCGACGAUCCAUAGCUGGUUUGAGAGGAUGAUCAGCCACACUGGGACUGAGACACGGCCCAGACUCCUACGGGAGGCAGCAGUGGGGAAUCUUGGACAAUGGGGGAAACCCUGAUCCAGCCAUGCCGCGUGAGCGAUGAAGGCCUUAGGGUUGUAAAGCUCUUUCACCGGGGACGAUAAUGACGGUACCCGGAGAAGAAGCCCCGGCUAACUCCGUGCCAGCAGCCGCGGUAAUACGGAGGGGGCUAGCGUUGUUCGGAAUUACUGGGCGUAAAGCGCACGUAGGCGGACCAGAAAGUUGGGGGUGAAAUCCCGGGGCUCAACCCCGGAACUGCCUCCAAAACUCCUGGUCUGGAGUCCGAGAGAGGUGAGUGGAAUUCC
rnacentral:rRNA from 1 species